rnacentral:rRNA from 1 species
UUCCAUUCCGAACAGGAAAGUUAAGCUCUACAGCGCUAAUGGUACUGCACGGGCAGCUGUGUGGGAGAGUAGGACGUCGCCAGGU